rnacentral:rRNA from 1 species
UACAGAGGUGGCAAGCGUUGUUCGGAUUUACUGGGCGUAAAGGGUGCGUAGGCGGCUUCGUGUGUCGGAUGUGAAAGCCCACGGAUCAUCCGUGGAACUGCAUUCGAAACUACGAGGCUGGAGUGCCGGAGAGGAUGGCGGAAUUCUCGGUGUAGCGGUGAAAUGCGUUGAGAUCGAGAGGAACGCCGGUGGCGAAGGCGGCCAUCUGGACGGCAACUGACGCUGAGGCACGAAAGCUAGGGGAG